GAUGAACGCUGGCGGCGUGCCUAAUACAUGCAAGUCGAGCGAACAGACGAGGAGCUUGCUCCUCUGACGUUAGCGGCGGACGGGUGAGUAACACGUGGAUAACCUACCUAUAAGACUGGGAUAACUUCGGGAAACCGGAGCUAAUACCGGAUAAUAUAUUGAACCGCAUGGUUCAAUAGUGAAAGACGGUUUUGCUGUCACUUAUAGAUGGAUCCGCGCCGCAUUAGCUAGUUGGUAAGGUAACGGCUUACCAAGGCGACGAUGCGUAGCCGACCUGAGAGGAGGAGCAGCAACACGGGAAAGGAGAUAAGGCACAGACGCAGAAGGGAGGAAGAAGUGGGGAAUAUUGGAAAAUGGGGGAAAGCAGGAUCAAGAAAGAUCGAGUGGGGGAAGAAGGCAUUAGGGGUGGAAAGAACUCGUGUUGGGUAAGAAAAGCAGAAGGUUAAGACCAAGAGGCGCGGAAGGGACCGAAAGAAGAAGAAACGGAGAAAUGAGUC
rnacentral:rRNA from 1 species